rnacentral:rRNA from 4 species
UUGGUGCCUUCGGGAACUCUGAGACAGGUGCUGCAUGGCUGUCGUCAGCUCGUGUUGUGAAAUGUUGGGUUAAGUCCCGCAACGAGCGCAACCCUUAUCCUUUGUUGCCAGCGGUCCGGCCGGGAACUCAAAGGAGACUGCCAGUGAUAAACUGGAGGAAGGUGGGGAUGACGUCAAGUCAUCAUGGCCCUUACGAGUAGGGCUACACACGUGCUACAAUGGCGCAUACAAAGAGAAGCGACCUCGCGAGAGCAAGCGGACCUCAUAAAGUGCGUCGUAGUCCGGAUUGGAGUCUGCAACUCGACUCCAUGAAGUCGGAAUCGCUAGUAAUCGUAGAUCAGAAUGCUACGGUGAAUACGUUCCCGGGCCUUGUACACACCGCCCGUCACACCAUGGGAGUGGGUUGCAAAAGAAGUAGGUAGCUUAACCUUCGGGAGGGCGCUUACCACUUUGUGAUUCAUGACUGGGGUGAAGUCGUAACAAGGUAACCGUAGGGGAACCUGCGGUUGGAUCACCUCCUUACCUUAAAGAA